CACGCCCAGCUAAUUUUUGUAUUUUUAGUAGAGAUGGGGUUUCACCAUAUUGGCUAAGAUAGUCUCGAACUCCUGACCUCGUGAUCUGCCCACCUCGGCCUCCCAAAGUGCUGGAAUUACAGGCGUGACCCACCACACCCUGCAAACAUCAGCCAUUUUAUAGUUCUCUCCAUUCUGUUCUCUCCUUCUGCAACUUCUAUUAAAGCCUGUAUUGGACCUUUUAAAGCCUGUAUUGGACCUUUUUACUUUAUUUUUGUAGUCUCCUACCCUCCCUUGUUUGCUGCGCUUCCUUGAGUAAAUUCCUCAGAACUACCUUUAAAAUCUGUUGUCUCUAAUAUAGUUUAACUCAUCCAUUGAAUCUUUUUUCUUUUUCCUUUUUUUUACAGAGUCUCAUUUGGUUGCCCAGGCUGGAGUGCAGUGGCACAAUCUUGGCUUACUGCAACCUCUGCCCCCAGGAUUCAUGUGAUUCUCCUGCCUCAGCCUCCUGAGUAGCUGAGAUUACCAGCGCAUGCCACCACGCCCAGCUAAUUUUUGUAUUUUUAGUAGAGAUGGGGUUUCACCAUAUUGGCCAAGAUAGUCUCGAACUCCUGACCUCAUGAUCUGCCCACCUCGGUCUCCUAAAGUGCUGGGAUUACAGGCGUGAGCCACCGCACCUGGCCUUUGAAUCGUGUUUAUAGGUCACAGGGUGCCUGAGAGUAAAGCCAGUCCAGGGAGAUUCUUGACGUUAAUAUUUAACUUCGUGUGUUGACAGACCACAUAAAUGGUAUAUACCUUGAAAAUCAAAAUGCACAUGAACACAAACUCCUGGUGAAAAAGUUUUGAGGGAUGAUUUCAUCUCUCCCAGUCCACAGCCCAGACCAAAACAGGCAAGUUUCCCUCCACUUCCCUAUGCUGGGGGGUGACGGGGUGGAAGGGGCCAGAUUUUUUUUUUUCUAGUUCACCUAUGUGCACUGCCCUUAAAAGGGUCCUGGCUUGGCUGGGCAUGGUGGCUGUUUGUAAUCCCAGCACUUUGGGAAGCUGCGGUGAGAUCACUUGAGCCAAGGAGUUCGAGACCAUCCUGGGCAACAUAGCAAGACCCCAUCUCUACAAAAACAUUUUAAAAUAAAAAAAAUAAGGGUGAAUUACUUACAUACCUUAUCUCAUCUUAAGCCCCAAAGUUAACUGUGUCAUGCGGGUUUUUAGUUUCCUUUUAGUUCUCUCUGGCCACUGGAGAUUGUACUUUAUGGUGAGCUGAUUUGUAUCAUAGUUCUACUCAGCAUUUCCAUGUGUCCUGUAUUAUAUGAAAUACACAUCAUUUGUGUGUUUCAAAGCAUUUAAAUUACCCCACUGGGGCACAGAGCAAGGUUAUA
rnacentral:lncRNA from 1 species